CUGUCCGGUCCAGCCAUGUCACAAUGGGCGUGAGAAAACUCAAGAUUUUCAGUGCCCUUCACAAAGGAGAAAUGACAGGAGAGGGUAACAUCAGUGAAUGGGUGGGCCCGCAGCUCCUCUGUAGACACCGAGAAUGUCAAAGAAGAAAUGAAGUUAAUAAAGACCAAUCAGCACUGCAUCAGGAACAAGAGGCCGGGUGUGGUGGCUCACACCUGUAAUCACAGCACUUUGGGAGGCCGAGGCGGAUGGAUCACCUGAGGUCAGGAGUUUGAGACCAGCCUGGCCAACAAGGUGAAACCCCAUCUCUACUAAAAAUACAAAAAAUUAGCCAGGCAUGCAUCGUGGCGGGCUCCUGUAAUCCCAGCUACUCGGGAGGCUGAGGCAGGAGAAUUGCUUGAACCUGGGAGGUGGAGGUUGCAGUGAGCCCAGAUUGCACCACUGCACUCCAGCCUGGGCAACAAGAGUUAAACUCCAUCUGAAAAAAAAACAAACAAAACAAAAACCAGGAACAAGAAAAAAGAAAAACAACAAAGACAGAAAAAAAAAUCAUAUACUACUAAAGACAAGUAUAAACUAUCCCAAAACAGAAAAUUCUAGCAGUGCACACAGAUUUUGCAUUGUACCCUUUUCACCUCUGGUUUGUAGAAAAACAAUGAGAACUCUAAUGAACCAGCUCUAGGUGGCAACAAAGUGUAAAGGGAAUGUAGAUACCUCAACACUUCAGUUACAUUGUCAGUCAUUUGACUCUCCAGUUUACAAACACAGUCAACAAUUUCUCCCCAAUAAAUUGUCUCUUUAUCAAAAGAGCUUACUUGUAUUACAGCUGGUUCCUCUGAUCCACCAGGUGAGAAGCAAGUGAGGUGGAGUCAGCAUGUCUUUGAAGGGACACUUGUUGAUGUCCCCAGGGAAAGUGCUUGGUGAUACUGUUAUUACCAAACUGUUGCUAUAAAAGCUCAGCAAAGAGCUCCAUGAGACUUAAUAUUUCAAUGGCUGUAUUUGUUAGCUAAAAAAAGUGUUUGCAAGGUAUUAUGGGAGAAGAGUGGAACAAAAGGAACUCCAUAAUUUUUCAAUGUUGGGGAAUUAUUCUGCACCUAUUUUUUCAAAGUAACAUAUUUGAAGAAUAAUUAAAUAACAUGGGAAUAAUGCUCACUAUACAACUUUUGGUAAAAAAAUUAAAAUAGAAAACUUAAUAUACAUAUACAUAUAUGUAUGAUUUCAACUUUGUGGGAAGAAAUAUGUACACAUAGGAAAAGAAAGAAAUACGCCAAAAUGUAAACCAUAGUUGUUUCUGGAUGGCGAGAGUGUGUGUGAUUUCAGUUGUUUUCCUUUCAUAUCUCUGAAUUUUCUAAAGUGACCUUUUACAUUUACAUUAAAAUAAAUACUUUGUAACUGAAAAAAUUAAGAAAUGAAGAGACUGACUUUAUACACAUAAUGUGGUACAGUGAGCGACAGUACAGGAAGGAGAGAGUGAGAUUUGUUCUUUACUCUCUACUUCUUAGGGAUAAGCAUGGUUUGUAUCUCCUGUUUGAAGCCUUUUCCAUUACCCUGGAGGCUCAAGUUCAGCAGUGGCCAAUUCUUUAUUAGGGAACCCUUCUCUCUCCAACCCCACAGCACAUGGGUUACAUCUGGGUCUGAGCUGGGUUGACCUAGUCCUGACACUCAGCACAGUCUAGGUAAAUGAUAGAGAAGGGUUUGAAGGAACGCUUCCCUUGGUAAAGAGACUUAUUACAACAGGGUAAAUAAGAAGAAGACAAGAAUAGGAGGCCUGUUGCUGGGAAUGGGUGCCAGAGGCAGCUUCUCCCUAAGUUCCUCACCCCAUCAGACUAUGAAUGAAGCAGUUAGUUCCUGGUUUUGCAUCUCCAGGUCCUCUCAGUUUCUCAAAUCACUUUUAGUGGCUGAGUGAAGGAAACAACUAUGCAGUUUCAAAAUAAAGCUAUAUCCAUUAACACAACGUAUUGAAGAAUUUUUGUUUUGGAUUUGUUGUUUAGCCCUGGUUUUGUUUUGGUUUUCUCAAGAAAACAACUGGAAUAUAACGGAAUGAAAUAAUUAUGACCAGUUUGUGUCACUUCUCGAAUUCAUACUAUGGGGGCUGAGGCUUGACUUACAUUUGACUUUCACCUGAAGCAGAGGAGGAAUAUCUUGAUGCUAGCACAGUAUUGAGAAACCAUGAGGAAUACUUUG
rnacentral:lncRNA from 1 species